UACGAAGGGGGCGAGCGUUGUUCGGAAUUACUGGGCGUAAAGGGCUCGUAGGCGGCCAACUAAGUCAGACGUGAAAUCCCUCGGCUUAACCGGGGAACUGCAUCUGAUACUGGAUGGCUUGAGAUUGGGAGAGGGAUGCGGAAUUCCAGGUGUAGCGGUGAAAUGCGUAGAUAUCUGGAGGAACCCCAGAGGCGAAGGCGGCGUCCUGGCUCGCAUCUGACGCUCAGACACGACAGCAUGGGGAGCGAAACGGG
rnacentral:rRNA from 1 species